AUGAACGCUAGCUACAGGCCUAACACAUGCAAGUCGAGGGGCAGCGGGAGUGAAGCUUGCUUCACUCGCCGGCGACCGGCGCACUGGUGAGUAACGCGUAUGCGACCUGCCCGCGGCCGGGGGAUAAUCCAUAGAAAUGUGGUCUAAUACCCCAUAUGCCGGUCUUCUGCAUGGAGGACCGGUGAAAGGAGAGAUCCGGGCGCGGAUGGGCAUGCGUCUGAUUAGCUUGUUGGCGGGUAACGGCCCACCAAGGCUACGAUCAGUAGGGGUUCUGAGAGGAAGGUCCCCCACAUUGGAACUGAGACACGGUCCAAACUCCUACGGGAGGCAGCAGUGAGGAAUAUUGGUCAAUGGGCGAGAGCCUGAACCAGCCAAGUAGCGUGCAGGAUGACGGCCCUAUGGGUUGUAAACUGCUUUUAUAAGGGAAUAAAGUGAGCCUCGUGAGGCUUUUUGCAUGUACCUUAUGAAUAAGGACCGGCUAAUUCCGUG
rnacentral:rRNA from 1 species